rnacentral:rRNA from 1 species
CCUACGGGAGGCUGCAGUGGGGAAUAUUGGGCAAUGGGCGCAAGCCUGACCCAGCAACGCCGCGUGAAGGAAGAAGGCUUUCGGGUUGUAAACUUCUUUUAAGGGGGAAGAGGAGAAGACGGUACCCCUUGAAUAAGCCACGGCUAACUACGUGCCAGCAGCCGCGGUAAUACGUAGGUGGCAAGCGUUGUCCGGAUUUACUGGGUGUAAAGAGUUCUGAGGCGGCAUGUAAAGUCAGGUGUUAAAGGCGCAGGCUCAACCUGUGUAUGGCACUUGAUAUUUGCAAGCUGGAAUGCGGUAGAGGUAAAGGGAAUUCCUGGUGUAGCGGUGAAAUGCUUAGAUAUCAGGAGGAACAUCGGUGGCGUAAGCGCUUUACUGGGCCGUAAUUGACGCUGAGGAACGAAAGCCAGGGUAGCAAAUGGGAUUAGAUACCCCUGUAGUC